UACGUAGGGGGCAAGCGUUGUCCGGAGUCACUGGGCGUAAAGCGCGCGCAGGCGGCAACCUUAGUGUCGUGUGAAAGCCCCCGGCUCAACCGGGGGAGGCCAUGGCAAACUGGGUCGCUCGAGCUGCGGAGAGGCCCCUCGAAUUGCCGGUGUAGCGGUGAAAUGCGUAGAGAUCGGCAGGAAGACCAAGGGGGAAGCCAGGGGGCUGGCCGCAGGCUGACGCUGAGGCGCGACAGCGUGGGGAGCAAACCGG
rnacentral:rRNA from 1 species